CCUGAUGUCUGACAUGGUAAAGAAUCUGCCUGCAAUGCAGGAUACCAGGGUUUGAUCCCUGGGUUGGGA
rnacentral:tRNA from 1 species